rnacentral:rRNA from 1 species
UACGAAGGGUGCAAGCGUUAAUCGGAAUUACUGGGCGUAAAGCGUGCGUAGGCGGCUGCUUAAGUCAGAUGUGAAAGCCCCGGGCUUAAGCUGGGAACGGCAUUUGAUACUGGGCAGCUCGAGUGGAGUAGAGGAGAGGGGAAUUUCCUGUGUAGCGGUGAAAUGCGGAGUGAUCUGAAGGAACACCAGGGGAGAAGGCGCCUCUCUGGACUCAAACUGAGGCUGGGGUAAGAAGGCGUGGGUAUCAAACAGC